CAUUAAAGAAUUAAGGGCGUAUGGAGGAUGCCUUGACACGAAAGAGCGAAGAAGGUCGUGGCGUGACUGCGAUAAGCUUCGGGGAGCCGUCUAGCGGGCUUUGAUCCGGAGAUGACCGAAUGGGGGAACCCCAUCGAGCAAACCUCGAUGACCCGGCGCAAGCUGGGAGCGUACCUGGCGAAGUGAAACAUCUCAGUAGCCAGAGGAAAAGAAAUCAACAAGAUUCCCUUAGUAGCGGCGAGCGAAAAGGGAUAAGCCUAAACUUUUUUAACGCAAGUUAAAAAGGGGUAAUAAGGAUAGAACACUUGAAUUUUUAUCGUUGCGCUUUCGAAGGCAGCGGUAAAAAUUUGAAAGAAGUUACAAAUUCCAAAGUUAGCAGAACGGCCUUGGAACAGCCGGCCAAAGAAGGUGAUAGCCCUGUAAGCGAAAACUUCUGGAACUUCUGUUUUAUUGCGGCGCAAGCCGCCUUGCUUGAGUAGCCCGGGAUAAGAAUGUCCUGGGUGAAUUUGCCCAUACUACUGGGUAAGGCUAAAUAUCUUUCGUGAUCGAUAGUGAACCAGUACCGUGAGGGAAAGGUGAAAAGCACCCCGGUGAGGGGAGUGAAAUAGCAACUGAAACCAUAUGCCUACAAAGAGCGGAAGUCCUUCGGCGGCAGCAAUGCCGUCUGGGAUGACCGUGUGCCUAUUGAAGAAUGACCCAACGAGUUUAUCCAAAUUGCUCUAUAAGUGCCUCUGGCACGUAUGGAAAGGGAAACCGAGUGUUAAAAGCGCGUAUUAGAACUAAAUAAAAUUUUCUUUAAAAAGAAAGUUUUAAUAGUUCUAGAAGCAGUUUGGGUAAGACCCGAAGCCAGGCGAGCUAACCAUGCCCAGGAUGAAGGUUGUCGAAAGACAACUGGAGGUCCGAACUGGUUGGUAGCGCAAUACCAUCGGAUGAGGUGUGGUUCGUAGUGAAAAGCUUAUCGAGCCUGGUAAUAGCUGGUUCUCCCCGAAAUGCCUUUAGGGGCAGCGGCGGAUUGUAGUUGAGGGGGUAGAGCACUGAUUGGUUUGCCGUGCCCGCAAGGGUAGGCUUACCAAAUAAACUCCGAAUACCUCAGCGUAAUUUCCGCCAGUGAGUAAGCGAGGGCAAAGCUUCGUUUACGCGAGGGAAACAGCCCAGAUCAUCAAUUAAGGUCCCAAAAUCUAUGCUAAGUGAAAAGGAAGUAUUCUGCCUUAGACAGGUAGGAUGUUGGCUUAGAAGCAGCCAUCAUUUAAAAAGUGCGUAAUAGCUUACUACUCGAUUUCGCCGCAAGGCGACGAGGCAGGAUGCGCCGAAAAUUUAUAGGGGCUAAGCAUAGUACCGAAAUUAUGGGUUUGAUGAUUUCGAAAAGGAUUUGUGGUGCCGUAGCUCAGUCAGAGCACUGGGUCCCGGGCCCAGAGGUCGACGGUUCAAAUCCGUCCGGCGCCACCAACCUGUCGGAUUAAAAUCAGGCGAGACCUGAUAAUCCGAUCUUUUUCGAAAUCAUCAAGCGGUAGGGGAGCAUUCUGAUUGCUGUGAAGGUGAACUGUGAAGUUUGCUGGAGCGUUCAGAAGGGAGAAUGUUGGGAUGAGUAACCGCAAGUGGCGUGAAAACCGCCACCGCCGAAAGCCUAAGGUUUCCUCCGCGAUGUCAAUCAUCGGAGGGUUAGGCGUCCCUAAGCGUAACCUAGCUUGCGGGCUAGGGAUCGCGAUGGUGAGCCGGUUAAUAUUCCGGCCCCGCUUACAUAUUCGAAGGAGUGACGGGCUAAAUUAGAUCGAGCGCAUUAUUGGAUUUGACGUCUUUGCUCAUAGAGUGGGAACCAGGCAAAUCCGGUUCCAGCCGAAAGGCGCACUCGAGAGUGAAAGAAAUGGCCGUUAGGCCAGAUUCGAUUGACGAGGGCUCCAAGAAAAGCUUCUAAGAUUAAUAUGUAAGCGCACGUACCGAAAACCGAAACAGGUGGGCUGGUGUAAGUGCACCAAGGCGAACGGGUGAUUAUUGGCUAAGGAACUCGGCAAAAAAGCGGCCGUAAGUUCGCGAUAAGGCCUUCCCCAGCUAACGCAAGUUAGAUGGGGACGCAGCUAAAGACCCUCUGGCGACUGUUUAUCAAAAACACAACUCCGUGCUAAGCCGUAAGGCGCUGUAUACGGGGUGACGCUUGUCCGGUGCCGGAACGUUAACGGUGAAGGUGGCGGGUAGCAAUACCCUCUGCCAACGCCCGAAGCGCCGGUGAACGACGGCAGUAACUAUAACUGUCUAAAAGUAGCAAAAUACCUUGUGGGGUAAGUUCCCACGCGCAUGAAUAGCGGAACGACUGGAGGACUGUCUCAGCCAAUAGCCCGGUGAAAAUGCAAUGUCGGUAAAGAUGCCGACUACCCGCACCUAGACGGAAAGACCCCGGAAGCUUUACUGUAGCUUGGUAUUGGUCUAUGGGUUUUAAUGCGUAGCGUAGUGGGUACACUUUGAAGCGUCUCUCUCGGGAGACGUGGAGUGGCCAAUGAAACACCCAUCUUUAAAAUCUAUAGCUCUAACCGGUGACACCCUAAAAGCGUGAAAUGAAAAUUUCAAAUUUUUAGGGUUUCAUCGAGACAGUGCCUGGCGGGCAGUUUUUGUGGGGCACAAUCCUCCUAAAAGGUAAUGGAGGAGUUCAUCAAGGUUGGCUAGCUCCGGAUGGAAAUCGGAGCGAUAGUGUAAAGGCACAAGCCAGCUUAACUGCAAGGCGGAUAUGCCGCGCAGAUGCGAAAGCAGGACCUAGUGAACCGACCGUGGCUCGUAGGAGCGCGGAAGAUCAUCAGAUAAAAGCUACUCCGGGGAUAAACUCUGCGUAACACAUACAUAAUUUUGUGUUACAAUAAGAGUAUGUUGUCCCGUUUGUCCGUAAGGACAAACAUGAUUACGGCUUAUAACGAAGAACCUAUAGAACGGUCUUUCCUGUGCGAAAGCACAUUUCUCUUCUAUAGCAACCUCGUGGGAAGUCGUGAGCGUCUUGAAUCUAAACAAAACACAAUUAGCUGUAAUUUACGGCUCAAUUAUGGGCGAUGCUUAUUUGCAGUCCAACGGCACGAAUGCCAGAUUGCGAUUUGAACAUUCUCUUAAUCAAGAGCAGUACGUUGUUUGGAAAUUUAAUUUCCUAAAGAAUAUAUUUUCAGAUUCGGCUAUUGUAAAAAUUAACAGGAUUCAUCCUAAAACCAAGCAAGAAUAUAAAUACGUUCGAUGCCAAUCUAAAACAUUGCCGGAAUUGAAGAAAAUUAAAGUUAUUUUCUAUCCAGCGGGCAAAAAGAUUGUGCCGUUAAGUAUUAAAAAGUAUUUGAUAGAACCUAUUUCUCUUGCGGUGUGGUUUAUGGAUGACGGAUAUUAUUAUCUUAGAGAUAAAUGCGGAUAUUUAUAUCUUGGAAAUAUAACGAAAGAAGAAGCUGAAGUUUGCAGCGAUACCUUGCAGAAUAAUUUUAAUCUAAAAACUAAGGUUCUAGCAAAGAAAAAAGGGUAUGCGUUAUAUUUUUCAAGAUUAGAGAUGUUAAAACUCAAAAAAGUAGUUUCUGAAUUCAUGAUCCCAAUGUUUAGAUACAAGUUACCUCAUUGACCCCGUAACGACUUGUUCUGGGUACAGUUUUUAAAAACUGGCCAGACUUAUAGCCCCCAUUCAUUAAUGGCUAUAAUACGCCGUCUCCAGUCUUUUUACAGAAAAAGCUGGAUGAAGAUAUAGUCUAAUACAUUAAUGUAUUGAACAGGCUGGUACCGCCCGAGCGUCCUUAGCGACGGCGGUGUUCGGCACCUCGAUGUCGGCUCGGCUUAUCCUGGGACUGAAGAAGGCCCCAAGGGUUUGGCUGUUCGCCAAUUAAAAAGCUACGCGAGAAAUCACGUGUCCAAGUAGUAAUAUUUGGAGCGAGCCAAAUAUAUUUCUUUAUGUUAAAAUUAAAGAAAUAUAUACUCUAGCUUAUAUCGGUAGAACCCAUGAAAAUUAACCCCUUUCACGGGCAGUACCGAGGGAAGAUUAGCUAGGAAUUAAUGCUUACGAGAGAAGAAAAGAAUAUUUUAGUCGGUUCACUUCUCGGAGAUGGAUGUUUAAGAAUAAUGCAGAAAUGCAAAGUUCCAGCAUUCUCAGUUUCUCAUAGUGAAGUUCAGAAAGACUACGUUUUUUGGAAGUAUGAGAAAUUAAAACGGUGGGUUAAAAAUCCGCCGUGGCGAGAAGAGAGAAUCUACCACAAAGAUAAAAGUAGAAAAACUUUUUCUUGGAGAUUUCAAACUUUAAGCAAUGAAGUAUUUUCUGAUUUGUAUCAAACUUUCUAUGAAAAUGGAAAGAAAAUUAUACCGGAAAAUAUAGAAUUUCUGCUUAAAGAUUCACCAUUGAUAUUGGCUGUAUGGCUAAUGGACGAUGGGAAUAAAAAUCAUCAAGCGGUUUUUCUUAACACCCAAUCAUUCUCUCUGAGUGAGCAACAGAAGCUAUGCCAGGUGUUGCAUAAAAUCUAUGGAUUUGAUGCGAAUAUAAACAAACAUAGUAAAAGCAAUGGAGUAGAACUGUAUAGAAUUAGAAUAAAUACCGAGAGCACACGAAAAUUAAAAACCGUUGUGAAGAAUUAUUUAUUACCACUGUUUUACUAUAAAAUUCCUGACUUUUCCCCGUAACGACUUGUGAGUUUAGCUCACAGAUAGUAAGUGAGGAGACUCCUUCGACUGAAGGAAUCAAAGGCUUACUAUAAAACGCUGGUACCCGAACCGAGCUUAGCUCGGAGGGUAGAGAUAUAGUCUGUGCCCCUAGUGAUAGGGGAAGAAUAAAAAACACGGAGCUGGGUUCAAACCGUCGUGAGACAGGUUGGUCCAUAUCUGGUGCGGGCGUUGAUACUUGAGAGGAGUUGUCCCUAGUAAAUAAUUGCUACUUCGCGAAGUAAUUCGCGAUGACAAUUCGGCUAAUAACGGUGGAUGCUCUUGUUUGCCAUGCAAUUCGGUCCGAAAAGCAUGAAUUAAAACUGCCAAGAGUUAAUACCGUGGGAAGUCACCCGCUCAAAUUUUUGGAAAAAAAAUGGCACAACCGAAGUUGUGCAUAGAACUGAUGUUGGGUUUAACUUAAUAGUAAUGAGCGGUAUCGGCAGUAGGUUCAACAAAUGCUUUGUACAAGUAUGUUCCAUCCACACGACCUACCUCAUCUCGUAUUUCGCCUUGGAGUGUGAAAUCUCCAGAGAGACGAUAGUUUCGGCCCUUGAACGGACCGUACUUCAUGGAUACGACCCGACCAUGUAAGGGGACCGUAUCGAGGCAAAUCUGUCCGACAUAACAGAGGGGUUCUCGAGUGUACAGAUAGAUUAUAGCAGUUAUCAUGAUUGCCUCCCCUGAGAUACCAACUUAAAAAGCAUAACGAUUUAUUUUAUAAAUGUCAAGAUUAAACUUGACUCCAAAAAUUUGAGCGUGGUUGACCCCGUAACGACUUGGCCCAUCAUUUAUUGAUGGCCGGAUGGAAAUCUUUUCAGCUUCCAUAAUAUGCCGAUCCCCGAUUCGCCUUUUGCUGGGCUUGCUAUGAGCGAGCAUAGCGAGUCGAAGGGGAAAGAUAUAGUCUGCACUUCUAGUGAUAGGAGAUUAUGUGACGAGAGGACCGGGAUGAACGAACCUCUGGUCUACGAGCUGUCCUGCCAAGGGCAUUGCUCGGUAGCUAUGUUCGGUUCUGAUAAGCGCUG
rnacentral:tRNA from 1 species